UAAACUGAAGAGUUUGAUCAUGGCUCAGAUUGAACGCUGGCGGCAUGCCUAACACAUGCAAGUCGAACGGAAACGAUGCUAGCUUGCUAGCAGGCGUCGAGUGGCGGACGGGUGAGUAAUG
rnacentral:rRNA from 1 species